UUACAUUCAGCAAAAACCGUUCAUCAUGUUCGCUGUUAUAUUCGUGUCUCUGUGGCUUUCACUAGGUGACUCCAUGGCAGAUUCAAUAGAGCCACUUUCAACUCAUAAUGUUGUGGAUGAAGGUGACAAUAUUACUCUGUCCUGCAGCUACAAAUUCAGUGCUGUUUCAGGAAGCAACAACCUGCACUGGUACAGGCAAUAUCCAACAUCUAACCCUGAGUUCAUUCUUAAUAUUCUUCAAAGUGGAGAGCUAAUUUCCAACACUGACCCUAGAAUGUCUGCUAAAAUCGAUGAUAAAAAAGUGUAUCUGAUCAUCUCCUCUGCUGCUGUAUCAGACUCUGUUGCACCAAGUGUCACAGUCCUUGUGGAGAUCAACGCUCUAGUUAGGGCUGAAGAGAUCCUGCUGGUGACAUUCAGCCGAGUGCCAUGGAUGAGAGGUUCAUCGAGAAGCCAGCACAGUGACGAACAGUCCUCCUUCUGCAAUCUGAACUGGUUAAAAACUUUAAAAAUACCUUGA